rnacentral:rRNA from 1 species
UUGGUCAAGCUAAUAAGAGCGCAGGGUGGAUGCCUUGGCACUAAGAGCCGAUGAAAGACGUGAUAAGCUGCGAAAAGCUUCGGGGAGGGGCAAAUAUCCUUUGAUCCGGAGAUAUCUGAAUGGGGAAACCCGGCUGAGAAGACCUCAGUCACUGUAUGGUAAAUACAUAGCCAUACAGAGGGAACCCGGUGAACUGAAACAUCUAAGUAGCCGGAGGAAGAGAAAGAAACAUCGAUUCCGGAAGUAGCGGCGAGCGAACCCGGAAGAGCCCAAACCAGCGUGCGUGCAUGCUGGGGUUAAGGACUGCAUAAGUGAGCCGAUCUGUUAAUGGAACUGCCUGGGAAGGCAGGCCAGAGAGGGUGAAAGCCCCGUACAUGAAAACAGCAGGCAGCGGCAGGAUCCAGAGUACCGCGAGACACGAGAAACCUUGCGGGAAGUCGGAGGGACCACCCUCCAAGGCUAAAUACUCCUUAGUGACCGAUAGCGCAUAGUACUGUGAAGGAAAGGUGAAAAGGACCCCGGGAGGGGAGUGAAAGAGAACCUGAAACCCUGUGUUUACAAGCUGUGGGAGAUGUGUCUAUGUACUCACCUAUCUCCACGAGCAUUGCGGCCGUUAUGACAGCGAUUGCGGCGUCCAUUUACUCGGCGUAGACCACUACGCCUGCGUGAAUGUCCAUGCACUCACUGCCAUACCAACCACACUGCUUCGCGGGAAUAGGCGAGUACAUAGCCAUCAACCGCGUACUUUUUGUAGAACGGUCCGGCGAGUUGCCGGUGCUGGCAAGGUUAAAUGGUACAGCCAUGGAGCCGAAGGGAAACCAAGUCUCAAAUGGGCGUAAAGUCAGCACAGGCAGACCCGAAACCGGGUGACCUAUCCAUGUCCAGGAUGAAGCGGAAGUAAAAUUCCGUGGAGGUCCGGAUCCACAUCCGUUGAAAAGGGUGGGAAUGAGGUGUGGAUAGGGGAGAAAUUCCAAUCGAACCCGGAGAUAGCUGGUUCUCCUCGAAAUAGCUUUAGGGCUAGCCCCGUAUUAGUUUAGCGGAGGUAGAGCACUGAAUUCCUAAGGGGGCGUCAAAGCUUACCAAGGGAUAUCAAACUCCGAAUGCCGCAUAAAUGAUGUACGGGAGUCAGACUGCACGAGAUAAGUUGGGCAGUCAAAAGGGAAAGAGCCCAGACCUACAGCUAAGGUCCCAAAGUGUGUGUUAAGUGGAAAAGGAUGUGGGAUUUCAGAGACAACUAGGAUGUUGGCUUAGAAGCAGCCACACAUUCAAAGAGUGCGUAAUAGCUCACUAGUCGAGAGGUCCUGCGCCGAAAAUGUCCGGGGCUAAAACACAACACCGAAGCUUAGGAAUGUAGAAAUACAUUGGUAGAGGAGCAUUCUUAAAGGAAUGAAGCAGUACCGAUAAGGAGCUGUGGACUUUUAAGAAGAGAGAAUGCCGGAAUGAGUAGCGAGAUGGAGGUGGGAAUCCUCCAGGCCGAAUAUCCAAGGUUUCCAGAGUAAAGCUGAUCUGCUCUGGGUAAGUCGGGGCCUAAGGUAAGGCUGAGAAGCGUAGCCGAUGGACAACAGGUUGAGAUUCCUGUACCGCGUAUCAUCAGAACUGUGGGGACACAGAAGGACAGCACAUCCCGGGAAUGGAAAGACCGGGGCAAGCAGGGUAGGAGUUAAGUUGGCAAAUCCGCUUAACAAUCCGAAGCUGUGAUGCGGAGCGAAUUUAAGUAGCGAAGUGUGCGAUUCCGGCUGUCAAGAAAAGCCGCUAUUGUGUGAUACGUGCCCGUACCGUAAACCGACACAGGUAGAUGAGGAGAGAAUCCUAAGGCCGGCGGGAGAAGCAUUGUUAAGGAACUCGGCAAAAUGACCCUGUAACUUCGGGAGAAAGGGUGCCUGGGAAACCAGGCCGCAGAGAAUAGGCUCAAGCAACUGUUUAGCAAAAACACAGGUCUAUGCAAAACCGUAAGGUGAGGUAUAUGGGCUGACGCCUGCCCGGUGCUGGAAGGUUAAGAGGAGGGGUUAGCGCAAGCGAAGCUCUGAAUUGAAGCCCCAGUAAACGGCGGCCGUAACUAUAACGGUCCUAAGGUAGCGAAAUUCCUUGUCGGGUAAGUUCCGACCCGCACGAAAGGCGUAAUGAUUUGAGCGCUGUCUCGACAAUGCACCCGGUGAAAUUGAAAUACCAGUGAAGAUGCUGGUUACCUGCGCCAGGACGGAAAGACCCCAUGGAGCUUUACUCCAGCUUGAUACUGGGAUUCGGUACUGCAUGUACAGGAUAGGUGGGAGACUGAGAACUAUGAACGCCAGUUUGUAGGGAGUCGCUGUUGGGAUACCACCCUUGCGGUAUUGGAUUUCUAACCUGCAGCCGUGAACCGGCUGGGGGACAAUGUCAGGCGGGGAGUUUGACUGGGGCGGUCGCCUCCGAAAGGGUAUCGGAGGCGCUCAAAGGUUCCCUCAUAAUGGUUGGAAACCAUUAGAAGAGUGCAAAGGCAUAAGGGAGCUUGACUGCGACACCGACGGGUGGAGCAGGUAGGAAACUAGGACUUAGUGAUCCGGUGGUAUGAAAGUGGGAUUGCCAUCGCUCAACGGAUAAAAGCUACCCUGGGGAUAACAGGCUUAUCACUCCCAAGAGUUCACAUCGACGGAGUGGUUUGGCACCUCGAUGUCGGCUCAUCGCAUCCUGGGGCUGUAGCAGGUCCCAAGGGUUGGGCUGUUCGCCCAUUAAAGCGGUACGCGAGCUGGGUUCAGAACGUCGUGAGACAGUUCGGUCCCUAUCCGGCGCGGGCGUAAGAUAUUUGAGAGGAGCUGUCCUUAGUACGAGAGGACCGGGAUGGACGGGCCGCUGGUGUACCUGUUGGAGUGCCAACUCCAUGGCAGGGUAGCCAAGCCCGGACGGGAUAAACGCUGAAGGCAUCUAAGCGUGAAGCCCCCCUCAAGAUGAGAUAUCUCAUACGCAAGUAGUAAGACCCCUUGAAGACGACGAGGUAGAUAGGUCAGAGGUGGAAGUGCAGUAAUGCAUGGAGCUGACUGAUACUAAUCGGUCGAGGGCUUGACCAAU